GAGGGCGGGGCGCCGCCGGUCGGCUCCCGGGUGGCGGUGCCGCCGCGCGCAUGCGUGAGGGAGCGAGGCCGGGCUGCGGUGCCGCCGGUGCCCCCGCGCCCGCCGGGGGCUGCCGCGGGGAGGAUGAGCUGGCUGUUCCCCCUCGCCAAGGGCGGCGGCUCCUCCUCGCCCGCCGCGCCGCUGCCCGCCCUCACCAGCCUCCAGCAGCAGAAGCAGCGGCAGAUCGAGUCCCUGCGCGGCGCCCACGCCUCCAUUGCAGAAAUUCAGAAAGAUGUGGAAUAUCGACUGCCGUUCACUGUAAACAACUUGACAAUUAAUAUUAACAUCUUGCUUCCACCUCAGUUUCCUCAGGAAAAACCAGUCAUCAGUGUUUUCCCACCUGUGAGACAUCAUUUAAUGGACAAGCAGGGAAUAUAUGUGACCGGUCCAUUAAUAAGUAACUUUACAAUGCACUCAGAUCUUGGAAAAAUUGUUCAAAGUUUACUAGAUGAGUUUUGGAAGAAUCCUCCAGUUCUGGCCUCUAGCUCAACAUCAUUUCCAUACCUUUUCAACAAACCAGCUGGAAUGCCUCCUUAUGCUCCUCAGGGGUUUCCAUUUCUUCCUCCAUACCCACCUCAAGAAACAAAUAGAACAAUGGCAGCCGUGCCCGUUGCUGAAUCAGUUCCUUCAAGCUACACUACAGACAAGCCUGCUGCUCCCUCUUACGGCUUGAUUGCUGAUCUGCCAUUACCUGUUCCAACAGCAGAAGCAGUGCUUCAGGUUGGCCAGAAUGGACUGACUUACAAGAUGCCUGAUGUUCCUGAUACAUUUCCAGAACUCGCAGAGCUAAGUAUAUCACAGCUGACCAAUAUGAACGAGCAAGAGGAAGUGUUACUGGAACAGUUUGUGACUCUACCACAACUGAAGCAAGUCAUUACUGAUAGAGAUGAGUUAGUGAAAAGCAUUGAAGAGCUGGCAAAAAAAAACUUGUUGCUGGAGCCUAGUCUCGAGGCAAAAAGACAGACCGUGUUGGAUAAAUAUGAGCAACUCACACAGAUGAAAGCAGCCUUUGAAAAAAAGAUGCAAAGACAGCACGAACUUAGUGAGAGUUGCAGUCCAAGUGCUCUGCAAGCCAGACUUAAAGUAGCUGCUCAUGAAGCUGAAGAGGAAUCUGACACUAUUGCAGAAGACUUCCUGGAAGGCAAAACAGAAAUAGAUGACUUUCUUAGUAGUUUCAUGGAAAAGAGAACAAUAUAGAGAAGAUGGCCACAUGGACAAUUUUAAAUUUCUCUGCCACUGUAGACGAGCCAAAGAGGAAAAACUUCAACAGGCAAUAGCAAUGCACAGCCAAUUUCAUGCUCCGCUAUAGAAUUCCUGCGAACUACACCUGCCAAGAGAUUGAGUGAAAACCCCAAUAAAGCACACUUUUUAAUAACUAUUAUUUGCAAAUAAGCAUUUCAUCUUAUAUGGUUGUAUUUAUAGAAGAGAUUGUAUACAGAGUUGGGAUGGUUUUUGUACAAAUUAGAAUGUCUCUUUAUAUUCUCAUUGUAUUCAAGAAUCCUUCUAUUGCAAUCUUUGCACUAAUUUCUUGUAUUUAUUGUUGAUAGUUCUUAUGAUAUUUAAGUUCCUGCUGCUAUACUCCAUUCUUCAGAGAUUAAAUAUCUAAACAUGUAAUUUUGACUAGCUUUUUACAUUUUUAUAAAAACAUAAUUCGUAUCUUUUGUAUUUUGAACUUUAAAAAUAGAUUCGGCUUGAUCUGUGGAAGAGUUUGAGAUAAGUGGUGAUAGGACAUUGGAAACUGAAGAAGUUCAUAAUUUGAGACUGUCACUGGAUUCACAAGCUGUCUUUUCUUGAAGCCAAAAUGUUUAAGAACAUUUUUUUACUUUUAAGUAAUAAUACAAAACUAAGCAUAGCCUGUAUUGUGUUUUGGGUAAGUAGAUUUGGGUUAAGCAAAGGAUGUGUUGGAACAAAUUAUACUGGAAUCAAAAUAGAGUAAAUGAUCUCUGCAUAGAUUUGGUGUAUUGCUCAGUAGCACUGAUACACUCAAUUUCAGGAGUGGCUUGGUAUCUACCACUGUAAUUAAACACAAUUUUCAUCUAACAAUUUUAUUUUCAUAUUUGUUCUUACUUAAAGGAAAAAUAAUCAGGUCACCUCCCAGUUUCUGUUUUAUGCAAUAUGAGUAUGUUCAUCAUCUGAGGAACUCAAAAGCACUUUACAAAAACUAGUUUUGAAGCUCUUUGUGAAGUAGCAGUUAUUUUUUCCUAAUUUUAAGGAACAAAGAAACUAACUUGGCUGGAGUUGCAUAGUGUGUUAUGUUAAGGCCAGUGAUAGUAUUUGGAAGUGAGACUUAAUUCUGCCCUUCAAUCACUGAGUCUUGCCUCUGGUGAGCUGACUUUUUUUAGGAUGGGGGUAUAUCUGGUGAGAAUGGAUAGGGCCAAGUGCAGUAUUCUGUAGGAGAAAAAUACAACCCCUAAAUACGUGUAUAUAUGUUCUCUCUUGCAAUAAGAUUCAGUAUUUUUCUUAACCUUGUCAGUCCGUUAGGUUUUCAUGGAGACAGUUAGGUUGCAGAAGAACAGAAGGAAUUGUACAGUUCUGAGAGUUAAGUAAGAUAAAGCACUGAUUAAGUAAUGUGUUAGGAAUUGUGCUUCUUUCUUGUCAGGAAGCAGUCUGGAGAUAAACCUCUUAACCGAGACACUGUCUCUGUGUUACCUAGAUAGGGUCACAGAACAUCACAGAUUCAAGUCUCAAAAUAAAGCAUGUCAGUCCAAGCGAGUACUUAUUUGUAUCACUAAUCUUCAGUCAGUCCUAAAGUCGAUGCUCUUCUAGCAAAAUGUAGUAAAGUAUUUCUUCUGAAUUGGAGAAGUGAGUAAAUUUGAAGUUAGGAAAAUCACGUAAGAAGUCUGUUUCACAGGCUAGUGAAUCUUCAAAUGGGGUUUUAGUCUCAGCCCUGUCAUAUUUUACAGUACUGUGGUUGUCUGUCUUACCCUGAAAGGGAGUAGCUUCAACUAUUCACUGUUAUUUGAUGGGGUUUUUCCUUGUAAAGCUGGCCCAAAUUCUGACACUAGAUGUCCCAAGAAAAUAGAGCUAUGGUCCAAAUCAAAGAAGAUACUUAGGUGCCUGAAAAAAUAAACAGGUUGUGCAUGCCAUGGUUAAGCAAUAAUUUUCUUCAAAAAAACCAUUUCUACUGACGGUGCAUAAUACUGCUUGUAUAUUGACAUAGCACUUCUGCUAAUGUGCUAACUAAAGCCCUAAUGAAAAAGGAGAUCGUGUAGGUUUCCAAGUGAUUCUGGACUUGGGCCUCCCAAGUAGUGUGAUUUCUGCAGCUCUGGAGAAGAGUUAGAUUUAUGUCAUCAGUGUUAACCUUCUUGGCAAACUCCAAGAUAACAUUUCUGUGCUCAGCGUACAAGUUGUUUUGGAUCUUUUUCUGAGUAUCUAGCUAACAGUCUUAAAGACCAGACACAAUUCUGUACAGGGCUGGAUUUUUGUUGCUGUUUCUUGUAAGCAGAGAAAGGAACAGGUGACCAAACAUGUGCUCUUCCUGAGUUGGGUUAGUAUCUUCUUUAUACAUUUUAUAAUGGCAUAGAAUGACACACUUGUGUUCUCAUCUGCCUCCUCCUGUUGAAUGUUAUGUCAUGUAUUAUGGUGCUUUACUGUGACUGAACUCUCUGGCCAGGUCACCUUCAGGGGACUUGCUUCCCAAACUAGUAUGAGUUCUCGGCACUUCAGCUUUUCCUCUUAUUUUUGUCAGCAAAUUUACAAAUUCAGCACUUCUCCAUGGAGUCCUGAUGGCAGUGGAGGAGAGUCCAGAAGAAAAUGUCACUGUUCGAUGCAAGUUUGUAGUACAGUGUUUCUUAUUCAGCGAUAUGAAAGUUUAAGGUCUUAUCUUUUCUCCCUUUCUGUUCUCUCUCUCAUAUCAUAGUUCCUAUUCUUAGGAUUUUUCCCCUGUUUCUUCCUAGCCCCUUCUGCAGUCACAAACCCAUCCUCUAGAAAAGCACAGAAGUCUCUGUAUUCAACAGUGAUGUAGUGGCUUAGCUACAGGUAUCCUGUCACAAGCAGGAAUGGCCAGCCUGUUUCUGGCCUUUAAAGGACAAGCCGACCUGCUGCUGGUUUUUUUUUUGUUUGUCUUGGUUGGUUUUUUUUUUUUUUGGGGGGGGGUCUUCUUCUUUUCUUUUAGUCCUACACUGGUGGUGCCAAUGGGAACAUUUUUCCUUACAGUUAAUCUUCAUACUUUCACCAGAAAACUUAGUAGAACACUGAUAACACUCUGUCAGAGUUUUUUGGCUUCUAGCACGCUGGUAGUUCACUGCUAAGUGCAUUCCUUACCUUACUUUGCUGCAAUGUGGCAUGUAGGUGUAAAUACAGCUUUAAACAAUUCUUUAUGAAGUUUAAGAAAAUGGCAGCUGCUGUUAGAUGCAUAUUCUAAAAUCUUUUGAGAUGUGUCAAGUGAACUCUUAAGCAAUCCGGAAUAUUAGGCUACAUACAGUGACUUGUUUCUGGAGAGCCUUGCACAGCAUCAUGCUCGUGCUGAGGUGUUCUGCCAAGUGGAAAAGUGAAAUAAAUGAGCAAGAAAUACAAGAGUAAGGAGGUGGCUUGUCUCUGGUGUUGCAGUAGUUUGGGGUGGGGGUGAGGGUGAGAGUAUAUUCUAUAUUGUAACUGCUAAUUGAAUCUGAGGAUUGCCUAAUUUUAAUAUCUGAUCUUACUGCUAAAUUUUUUCUGUAGCUGAGUUUAGGCCUCUUGUUCCUCCCUAAGUGACUACUGAAACCCAGAACUGAAUUCUCCAUAUAGCAAUUGUCUGCUAUUGCAGACCAGAGAAAUUUUAAGAUAUAUGUCUGAAAUCAAGUAGGUUUCAUUUUAGGGUCAUCUUGUAUACAACUGGUGUUAAUGGUAUAUCCUGCUGGGGCUUACAGAAGAGUUUUCCUAGAUUUCACGGUGUAUUUGACAUGCUAGCCUUUCUGAAAGACGGGGAUUAUUGUGUAUGUACAGCUAUGCUAGCCACCACUACAAGCAAGAGACUAUAAUAUUAUAAAGUUAGUUGUAAGCAGUAUCUAAUGAUCUGCUAUAGUUCUGUUUGCUCUAUACGUACUCCUGAACUUUGCCACUUUGGACCUUGACCAAAUGUGGAAGUUAGCAAUCUUUUAGUCUUGUUUCUGUCCAAGUUCUUACUACUCCCUUCAAAGACUAGGAUAAAUUUUUCUAAAAGAGAGGUUUAAGAGACCUUCAGGUAAAACUCUGGCAACAAAGUUAAAAGUCAGUUAUUGCAGACUUACUGUGUACGUUAUUCUGAACAGUAAACACUGUAAUGUGUUAAACUACAAAUAAAGGCUUUGGAAUUUUUAAUA